rnacentral:lncRNA from 1 species
GCAGGCUGACUCUACUGCACUCCAUCUUCACCAUAUUAUAUUAUGCCAUCAUAAUAUAAUAGUAGAUGAAUCCGAGCACUAGCCAUUUUCUUAAAUAAUUUUAUGAUAGUAUCAAAAUUAGAAUAUUUAGUAUUAAUAAUUAUUUUGAUAAAAUAAUACAAAAACUAGAUUGCCAUAGAGUAAUAUUGAGAAAAUCAUCUGCAUUCAAUGAAAACAUUUGUAAAUUCCAUCAUCUAAAUUUCACAG